UACGAAGGGGGCUAGCGUUGUUCGGAAUAACUGGGCGUAAAGAGGUCGUAGGCUGCACAGCAAGUCAGUGGUGAAAUCCCGGAGCUUAACUUCGGAACUGCCAUUGAAACUGUUGUGCUGGAAUCUCAGAGGGGAUAGCGGAAUUCCAAAUGUAGGGGUGAAAUCCGUAGAUAUUUGGAGGAACACCGGUGGCGAAGGCGGCUAUCUGGAUGAGUAUUGACGCUGAGGAACGAAAGCGUGGGGAUCAAACAGG
rnacentral:rRNA from 1 species